rnacentral:lncRNA from 1 species
CAAUAUGAUCGAGUUAUUUUUCAAACCAGCUAAGAUUUUUACACCAUCCCUCCCCACUCCACUUCCUACCCCUGUCCCCAAGAAGUAAGAAGAGUAGAAAUGAUAUUUCAGGGAGUUUGUAUGUAUCCGUGGUCAAUAUUAUAUUUGUUUCUUUUAGUAAAGUUUGUUGCUUCUUGUACCUAAUGGUACCUUGAUUCCUGAUUCUGUCGAGUUAUGGAGAGCAUAAUUGAAGAUGGCUGGUUACAACCGACUUGGUUUGGAUGUGGAAUUGGGGCAAGCACUCUCUCCCAGUACUCUAGUAAUGCUGAAAACCCAAAUCUAUUUAAAAGGACAAGUUGUUUUAACUUCUACCACAGAUGGGGUGAGAGGAACAAGUGAAACUCAACAGCUAAGGAGAAAAUGAAGAACUAGUGCUACGUUUUCCACGUUCUUUUUGCUCCGGGGUUGACAUGGCAUUUGGCCUUUCUACCUGGAGAAAAUCAAGAGUAUGUAACUUUCCCUGCAGAUGGUCUGUCUGUAAGAGCUGACACAGGAACCUUUGGGAGCCAGUAUCUAUUUUGUUUCCGACUGCAAAGUUCCAGCCAAUGAUUUGGAGGGGGGCCGGCACCUUCUGCUGGGAGCUAGUCUGGGAGGGAA